GUGGUCAUCUGUCCUGAACCUCCUCACGGCCCCACAGGCCCAGAGCUGGGCUCCGCCCAUCAUGGGGCUGCUUCCUGUUCCCCAAACACUGGCCACAAUGUGAGGUCAGCCCAAAGGUGCAGAGCCAAGAAAACUCAGCCUCCAAGACACAGAACAUAUUUUCCUGGGUCGGAAGCAGCAGUCAAACCUGGUCUAUUUAUGCCAAAGCCCAAGUGCAGGUGCCCAGAGGAGAGAGGGGGAGCUGUGAGGAGGGAUAGAUAUUAUGCUGUGGUGGGGCCACACAAACCCCACCUUGUUGUGCCUUCAGGAGAAGCACAUUCUUGGCCUGGGUGGUAACAAUAACAUUUGGACGGAAAUAUCAAGUGGUAUCAGGCUUCCAGACCACCAUUCAUGCAAGAGCUAACCUUACAUAUGCUUGAUCAAAUGACAAAAAGCUUCAGCCAGAAACAGUUUUGCCUAGGUUCUGAAUCUUCCCUGAGCUCUUAAAUUCUACCCAGUGAGCAUCUAGAUUAAAACCUGGAUAAAACCUGGAUAAAAGAUUAAAAAACUCAACCAAGUUU